AGCGGUUGGAGGGCACAGAAGGAGCAGAAGACAUUCUGGAGUUCUGCAAAGACCAUGCUGCUGAUGAACCAGGUCAUGGCGUCUCCAAUGCUCCAGCCUGAACUCUGGGCCUGCCCGUGGCCUCUGUGCUGCAGCAUUCAUCAACGACCUGGAAUGUGGGAGAUUUUCCUUAACUUCCGAGCCCCAAGGAGGGUCUUGUACCCAGUGGGAGGCCAGAAGCAUCUCCUGAAUGAAACAUCAUGCGCCGCCAUGCCCGGAAGCCCUGGAGACGCUCGUGUGUUUCCAGUGUAAUGACCAAGCCUAGGAACUCAUCAGAGGCAUCUGUUUGACUAAAA